rnacentral:lncRNA from 1 species
CCUUGACCCAAACAUGGGGUUAGUAAAGACAAAAUUAAGAUUUAAACCCAGGCUAUUUGGCUCUAGACCAAGCACAUAAGCAUGGUAUAUGACCUCUGACAAAAAACUAUUUUCUUCUUUUUUGGAGGCUUAGACCAGUGCUUCUCAACCUAGGGUCCAAGAUCCCCCGGGACCCUCAAAAUUUUCAAAGAGGCUCUCAGGUUCUCUUCAAGAGCUUUAAAACUUUAUGUUAAGUUCUCUGCUGAAGGGAGGUUUAUUCUUUGGAAAGGUUGAUUGUUAAGAGCGACCUCGUGUUCAGAGGGGCCUCAGAUUCAGGAUCUUCCAAAAAGAGAGAAAAGAGCAGACAGGACUGGUGUGGGCAGUAGGAUCUGAUAUACUAUUCACCCCGCAGGCCCUCCUCAGUUGGUGUCCAUUUCGUGAAGGCAUUCCCCAGUACUCCCAACUGCAUUUGCUCUCUGACCACGCGUUGUCCUGUGCAUGUACCUCUUUUGUGGUCCUUCACUCGUGAUGACCAGUGGUACCAAGCUCUUCAUGCUGACCAACCGACUUCUCUACUGAAACUGCUCUUGGAGUGCUGGAUAGACUGCUGGUCAUCCCUCUCCCCUUUUAUUGUAAUAGAACCUCGAAUUUUAGCUGCCCAGAAGAUACACUGCCCAGAAGCUGAAAGACCACAUUUCUCGGUCUUCGUGAAUGUAUGAGUGAACCCCAUAGGACUGAGCUCUGGCCAAAUGAGGGGUGGGAUGGCAAACUUCCUGAACCCAUCAUGGACCAUGAGGUUCCCCAGGGAAGAGAAGCCAUACGCAGCAGAAGAGCAAGGGAAAAGAAGCUGAAGAGCUUCAUCAGGCCUGCCCUACCGUCUCCCGCCCCCCGUCUAGACUCCUGUAUAUAUGACAGGGAAAUAUACUUCUUUCUUCUUUCUUCAUUUAACUGGAGGCUACCAUGGAUGUUCCUGCCUUAGGCACCUGGACUUGAUCUUCAGUGGUGUGGAAGCAUAGAGAUGACAUUUAUUGGUUCUUCAUUGAAAUAUGCAACAUAGUCUCAAAAGGGCAGGUCCAAUGGAAAAGCAUAUUUAUUGAAUGGAACCUCAAAAACCACUCAGCUCUCCACUGAGAUAUGCACCAAAGUUCCCUCCGGCCUUCUUGCCUACAUCUAAUUAAACUCAUUCAAAAUUCCCUAAUUGGGGUUUUUUUUUUUAAUCUUUUUUGAUUAUAGGUUGCAUAAUAGG